AUAAAAAACCCUUUGUACUAAUAAACAUUAUUUCUCCUAAGUCUAAGAUAGGUGGUGAUUUUCUAAUCCUUUUUUGCCUUUAUUCGAAUAACUGGAGAAAAAAUUUGAAGAAAACUCACAUUGUUGGUGCAGCUUAUCGUACAUCGACACCUUUUUUUGGCUUCAUCAGUGCUGUAGCCACCUUAAUCUUCUCUUGUAACUAUUUUCCCAUUAGAUCUAAGCUAUGAUUUGGUGAUGAAGUCCAUUGCUCGGGUUGUUAUGGCUGGAUUUUGGGUAUUUAUGGGUUAAUUAUUUCUGCAAUUAUUAUUAAUAGAUUAACCCGAAAAAUCGGUCUUAUUCUCUAUUUGUUGGAUAUGCUGACCUUUCAUCUUGUCUUGCUUGUGGACUUGUUGGUCUUUCUACUGGAAUUUCUUUCAAAAUCGUUGGUGAUGCUAGUGUUAGCCAUUGAAGGAUUUGAGUGGACAAGUUUGUGACAUAUGUUGUGAUGAAAUAGGCUUAACAGUGGAAAGUGAUAUUUUUGUGGCUGCAAAGAGUGGUUUCCCUGUGGGUCGGCCUUGCUACUAUUAUGAAAGAAGGGAAGAAACUCAACAGUGUCCACAGUGCAAGACCAGAUACAAAUGUCUUAAAGGAAGUCCAACGGUGGCGGGAGAUGAAGAUGAGGAAGAUAUUGACGAUAUUGAUCAUGAUUCCAAAGUUGAUGAUGAGCAAUACAAGAAUAGAAACAUUGUUGAGACCAUUCUCCACGGUAAGAUGCAGGUUACCGGUGAAUUUCCAAUAUCAAAUCAUGGAAAUGGAGAGCAGACGUUGCAAUCUCAGCUUCACAAAAGGAUACUUCCCUAUCCAUCUUCUGAAUCUGGAAGUGCAAGAUGGGAUCAUAAGAAAGAGGGAGGGUGGAAAGAAAGAAUGGAAGAAUUGAAAUUGCAGCAAGGACAUGCGGGGCAAGAUUAUGAUGACUUUGCAGACGUUGAUAUGUCCAUAUAAGUAGUUACAAUUGAUCUUCAACAUGAAAAUGUACGCAAAUACAAAAUCUUGAACCAUAAUAUUGAGUCAUCGGAGAUUGGAAUAACACACGAGCAAAUGCUCACCUCUUGGUUGUUUCUUGGUUAUUUCCUGUGCUUGGAGAUACAGAUACUAGCAUUUGAUUAUUUCACAUUCACAUAAAUGGAAUUGAAAGGAGUAUUUUAUAUGAAAGUUUAUGACAGUAGGAGUAAGAAAUUAGUGAAAUGUUUUUCACCAGAAGUGAAAAGGAGUAGUGUAUAUGACAAAUUAGUUAACCAUAAAUUAACUGUUAUAGAGACACAAGUUUUGACAUAAUCAGUGAAAUGUUUUUUUUCAAGGAGGCAUGCAGAUAUUAUCUGAUCGAAAGUGAUCUGUCUUUGAAGGUGGUAUCAGUUAUCUUAGUAAGUGAUGUUGUCUGCAAUUCCCCUUCUAUGAGCCCAAAUGAUCAGGAGAAGUGUCAGUACUCAGACAUGAACAAAGCCUCUUUUUUAUCCAAAAACGUUUUAGGCAACAGGAGUUCCAAGCUAUUUGCAAUUGCUUUACUAGCAUCAGGGCACAGUUCGACUAUGACUGGGACGUACGCUGGGCAAUACGUUAUAUAGGGAAAUGGAGGUGAUCAAAUUUUAAGAGUUGCCACAAGUCAAUUUGAUUUUAUAGAAGUGAAUGAUGAAGAGUUUUUGAACUAUUGUAAAAGUUUGAAUACAUUAUGUUUGAUUUUGUGAAAUAUGUUCAUUGCUAGAAUAUAUUGAUCUACUAUAAGAGUACUUUUUGAACUAUUGUGUACACAUGUAGAAUAUUGCUUUAUAAGUAUUUGUAUGUACGCAAGACUUACUAUCUUUUGAAGUGUAUUACAAAUCUA